GCUGCUCUGCGGAAGGCAGGUGCUGAGACGGGCGGUGCUGAGGCGGGCGCUGGUCAUGGUCUCCGCAAACAUGCUAUCUGCGAGGCAAAGCCAGCGACACGGGGCGUUAGAGACAGGGCACAACGGGCUACUCUCACCUCUACUGUUAUUAUUUCAGCCUAGGGAUUAUCUGAAUUCUGCUCCUCUAACAGAAAAAUCGGACGGAGGUCAGCCACGAACGAACACGGGGCUGGAGAAUCCCACGAGGGGCAGGCAGGGGAACGGCUGCAACUCGGCACCAGCUGAGGAGAAACAAGAGUUGUGAAAUACCCACACCACCUGCGAGCAAAUUGCUCUGCUGAACUGGGCGAAGCUGUAAAAAACCAGCCUGGUUCUGCAGAUUUCUGAGCGCAGGGCUCUGACUGCUCUCAGCUGCUCUCUUCAGGAGGAAACGUCUCCCUGUGCCCACGUCCAAAGGUCCUGUGCGAGCCCAAGCUGCCACGGCGCUGGGUGAAGGAGCACAAGCAUGGCUUUGUAUUCCUCUCACACUCAUCGCUGCCUUAAACUGUGACAUGUCCAGACACAGGACUGCCUGGGGUGCCUUGGACAUUUCACUCCAGAGGGAAGGCAACAACCAGAGAAGCAAAGCCAGAACCAGUGGAAGUCAGAGUGCUGGAGCAAAGCAGACUCCUCAGCUCAUCUUCCCAAAGACGGGGAGGUGUGAAGCAUCCCAGCACCAACACUGCCAGCUACUCGGAGGAGAAAAUCACCGGGGUUUUACCAAAGGAGGUAACCCCCAAAUGCAUCCAGGCAGCAGUGAAGGAAGGGCUGCCUUAGAUCAGGAGCCUGUGCAGGGGAGGCUGCCAGAGCAGUCCUGGUGGCAAGGGCACUGUGGCAAGAAAUGCGCCCCCAGAGGAGGAGUAAGCCACAGCUGAGCUGUGUGAUGCUGAAAGAUGCAUUUUGUGCAUCUGCAUUCAGUCUGUAUAUCACAGCUUUCUCAACUUGCAAAAUUUUGGGAGGAGUUUGAGAGACAAACACGUCUCCUAAGGCAUCACCACAUCUGUAGGCUGCAUCCACUGAUGCCCCGGGCGGCUGAGCAUCGCCCUGAUGCCCGGGGCAGCUUGUGGGGCUUGGUGCUUUGCCCCGAAACAAGGCAGAGUACAGCAGCCCUCAGGCACAGGCUUUCGCUGAGCUCUUGGCCGCCGCAGGCAGGGCUGCAGGGAGGCGUGAGGGCAGAAAUAAGCAGCAUUUUGUUUUCCUAACUAAUGUGCUGAGGAAGAAGGGCUGCUCUGGCGAAGCAGCUGCACUUGGUCAAUGCAGCAAACGCUCCCUCGCCUCUGUGAUGAGCACCAGAGGCUGGAGCACGUCACGGCUGCAAUUACAGGAUAAGCUACUGGUAAGGUUUAAUUACGCAUUUGAGGCAGAGCAGGCAGGUCAAAGUGCUGUUUAUGUGGAGCGUUCUCAGCUGCAAAAUAAUUGGUACUGCUCUGAGGAAUGCGUGGCAGGGCUGCCUGCCCACCAGCCCGUUUCAUGGUGCCUGCUCGGUGUGAGGGUGGAGGCAGCAGCCCCUCGAGCUUGCCUGCUAACACUAAAUCAGCUCCUAGGAGCCCCCAGGAAAGGGCAGCACUUGUAUUAUAAAAGGAUUCCCUCUGGUAUCGACCAGUUCAAAACACUCCAUCUAGCCCUGAACGUGUUUGCUGUAAAAGUCACAGAGGGAAAGUGCUUCCACGGCACUCAGCUCAUUAAUUCAGCCUCUCUUGCAGCCUUCCGCAGGGAUGGUGCCUUGUAAGGUGCAGGCAGGCACCCCCUGAUUGCAGGGAUCUGCUUAGGGCUGAGGGCAGAUGUGCCGUGCAGUGCCCAGGGUCUUGAACUCUAUUUUGCACUGUAUUUUUUGAUCUCUCCUCAUCCUGGGCUGCAGCCGGCGCUUUGCAGGCGUGCAGUGAUGCCCGUGCAGAAGGGAAGGAUAAGUGAAUAAGUCAGGUUACGUCUGCAAACACAGCUUGCUGAACUGCCAAAUUAGGUGGCCACCAAGGCCGAGAGCUCAGAGGGGGGCUGGGGAAGGGUGCCAGGACACGGAUGGGGAAUGGGUCGUAAUUUUCCAGUGGACUGGCAGUAGCUGGGAAAGAAAAGGGAAGCAGAGCUGCUUGUCUUUGUCUCUUCGAUCCCUGGGACCCUGCUGGCAAGCAGCACCACGUUUUUCCAUGCCAUAGCAGCACAGCCAGCUAAGUAAAAGCUGGAGAAAGUUACACGUAGAGAUUUCCAAGUAGCCCAUCACACAGCUGAUACAAUGCACAGCCUCAGCGCUUCCCUUCACUGACAUCCCUGAACUGUACUGCUUUUUGGAUCCUCACUGCUGCCAAAAGAGAAAUGAUUAAUUUGAUGAAAAAAAAAAACAAAAUUAGUUGUUCUUAAGUGUCCCAUGGAAGCGAUCAACCAGAGAGAUCAUGCAUUUUCUCUCCACUGUGGAAAGAGCCGCGAGCAGAGCAAGCCCAGCCACACACUCACCUAGAAUUUGCACUUCGUGGGUAAUCCCGUAGACAUCUAUGAGCGCCCAGAGAGGACUGGAAACUUUAAUACCACAGUGAAACAAUAUCGGCUCCUCGUCGUUAAUACUGUAGAAGACUCUCCCGUGACGGUCAACCCAGAAGGCCAAGAUAUUGUCCCUGACGGCGAACCUCUCUGGCAAAGCCUUGGCCCAGUAGCCGGGCCGGGUGACCAGGUCGGGGCAGGCGUACUUUGGUAUGUCGUCGGAGCUCAUCUGCGAGGGGUCGUGGAUGGUGAAGCCGAAGCGCAGGGCCCCGCUCCAGCCGUGGUGCACGGCCACCAGCUUCAGCCUGACCUUCUCGUAGAGGUGGAUGGGCCGGUUGGUGAAGGUGACCCCGUUACAGAAGCUGUUCCUCCGCGUGGCGCGGCGCGAGUGGGCGUCCAGCCGCACGUUCUUGCCCUUGGCUUGGGAGUGGAAGCGCGGCGGCUCCGUGACGGCCAGCACCGAGCGCCUCUCAUGGCUGCUGUUGGGCAGGCUGUAGUAGGGGCGGCUGGAGACGGAGCGGGUCUGGUGGCUUGUGUCUGCGGGAGAGAAAACGGCACCCAGCAUGAGGGCUCGGCCCCGGCACCGCGUGCGCUCAGCCCGGGAAGCUCCGCCGCGGGCUCUCCCCGGGCAGGGCAGCGGUGUGCUGCUUUGCACUGCUGCUCACAGGGCUCUUUAGCCUUAAAAUGCCGUGCUCGGCUACAAGCUGCUCUUUGUUCCAGCAGCUUGGCCCCCAGCUUUAUGCAAACACAAGGCAAAUGUGGCUCGCGGGGGCAAAGGCUAGGCAGCUUCCCUCUGCGCCCUGCGCACUUGGGCAGAGAGCAUCCCUUUGUUCCCGUCAGAUGCAUCCGACUGCAGUCGGAAGGGCCUGAUGCUCUCACUCUGGCUCCCCGUUUCCUAUUUCAAGGCACGUGUGGUUAAAUCAUCCUGUUGGCCGGCCGGGGCCAGAUUCCCACAGUCUGUGAGAGUCACGCUUGUUAAGAUCAGAGGUGCUCAGGAUGAGGGGCACGCCUCGCGUUUUUGUGCAGCCACCGGCUCCUGUCCCUUAAUUCUGUAAGGAUGAACAUUGCUUUUGAGCAGUGCACACAUCGAGACAUUUCGCAGCUGGAGCACUCCCCCUGCAUCGCCAGCGUGUUCUCCCCAGCUCCCAGCCCAGCCCCUGGUUCGGGUGCCAGACCCAACAGCCCCAGGAAGGAACAGCUCAUCCCGCAGAGCCUCGCCGGUACACGCAGCCUCCCGCUGGAGCUCAGAGCUCCUUGUAACCAACGCGUGCUUGCAGCUUCGCAGCACCACAGAUGGCGCAGAAAUCCUGCCACCCUCCCUCUACAGAUGGGAGAAGGAGAAUUUAUGAGCGAGAUCUUGCAGCACUUCAAGUCAAUAGCAAUUUCGAGACUGAUUUCAGAAAAAAGCAGAUUUGAGGCCUAAAGUGAAGUUCACAGAAGCGUGAAGCAGGAAUGAAAAAAAAAGAAAAAAGAAAAAAAUAAGAAAAAAAAAGAAACACUUCUAAUCUUAAGCCUUAGCUGUAAGUUCCCCGAGGCAGAGAUGCUCCCUCCUGCACAGCCCCAAAUGCAGUGGGACCAGGCUCCCCUGCGACCACCACCACGGGGCUACCACCACUUCAUCUGGGACCGUUUCAGCAGGGAAAAACCCAGAAGGCAGCGAGAAGCUGGGGCUUGCAUUUUUGGCUGGCAUCAAUGAAGGCAUUUGGGAAGUAAUCCCCAUCUUUGUGUCUGCAGGAGCUGAGCACUGCAUUACCCAUCUGCGACAGGAGCCGAAGAGCUGAGGCUGGCAGCUCCUGCUUCCACCGAGCAAACGGGGCAGUCCUGAAUUACGACAGGAACACGCAGAGGCUAAAGAAAAGGGCCUUUGUGUGCGCUUUGUUCGACCUGCACGUGACUGUGACCCGCUCAUCCUGCUGUGCACCACCGUGAGCAAACACCACCCUGCCCUCCUGCCUGCGGGGGCUUCACCCCUCCAGCGCCAAGAACCAAGAAGGCAGCGACCUGGGGGAGACGGGCAGGAGAGAGCCCCCGGCUGCUGCAUCCCACGGUGCCAUCCUCGCUGCCACCCGCAGCAGAGGGGCUGCGGGAGCCCCUUCUCUCCCCAGUUCCCAGCAGAGAGCCCAGGCCCUUGCCUCCCAAAAAACGGAGGCCCAGAAGAUGCCACCCGCUGCUCCCCUGGGUGCUGCUCCGCGGGGCUGCCUGCAAAUGGUGCCGGCAAGCCGUGCCGCCGCGCAGGAGCCGCCGCUCUUCUGGCUGUGCCUGCACUCACCUGCUCCUCCUGCAUCCAUGGGGCCUUCAAGCCAAAAAAUUAUUAAAAAUAUGAAAUUAA